UCCUGGUUAACCCAGGCAGUCUCAUUAGAGUCCCCGACCGAAUCGCUGGCAACUAAUGAUAAGGGUUGCGCUCGUUGCGGGACUUAACCCAACACCUCACGGCACGAGCUGACGACAGCCAUGCAGCACCUGUGCAAAGGCCCCGAAGGGAAUAUCCAUCUCUGAAUACGUCCUCUGCAUGUCAAGCCUGGGUAAGGUUCUUCGCGUUGCAUCGAAUUAAACCACAUGCUCCACUGCUUGUGCGGGUCCCCGUCAAUUCUUUUGAGUUUCACCCUUGCGAGUGUACUCCCCAGGCGGUAUACUUAACACGUUAGCUACGGCACAGCUGGGGUUGAGUCCAGCUACACCAAGUAUACAUCGUUUACGGCAAGGACUAC
rnacentral:misc_RNA from 1 species